CACUCCUACGGGAGGCAGCAGUGGGGAAUAUUGGACAAUGGGCGCAAGCCUGAUCCAGCCAUGCCGCGUGAGUGAUGAAGGCCCUAGGGUUGUAAAGCUCUUUCACCGGUGAAGAUAAUGACGGUAACCGGAGAAGAAGCCCCGGCUAACUUCGUGCCAGCAGCCGCGGUAAUACGAAGGGGGCUAGCGUUGUUCGGAUUUACUGGGCGUAAAGCGCACGUAGGCGGACUAUUAAGUCAGGGGUGAAAUCCCGGGGCUCAACCCCGGAACUGCCUUUGAUACUGGUAGUCUUGAGUGCGAGAGAGGUGAGUGGAAUUCCGAGUGUAGAGGUGAAAUUCGUAGAUAUUCGGAGGAACACCAGUGGCGAAGGCGGCUCACUCGCUCGAUACUGACGCUGAGGUGCGAAAGCGUGGGGAGCAAACAGGAUUAGAUACCCCUGUAGUCCCAUGAU
rnacentral:rRNA from 1 species